GAUGAACGCUGGCGGCGUGCCUAAUACAUGCAAGUCGAGCGAACGGACGAGAAGCUUGCUUCUCUGAUGUUAGCGGCGGACGGGUGAGUAACACGUGGAUAACCUACCUAUAAGGCUGGGAUAACUUCGGGAAACCGGAGCUAAUACCGGAUAAUAUUUUGAACCGCAUGGUUCAAAAGUGAAAGACGGUCUUGCUGUCACUUAUAGAUGGAUCCGCGCUGCAUUAGCUAGUUGGUAAGGUAACGGCUUACCAAGGCAACGAUGCAUAGCCGACCUGAGAGGGUGAUCGGCCACACUGGAACUGAGACACGGUCCAGACUCCUACGGGAGGCAGCAGUAGGGAAUCGUCCGCAAUGGGCGAAAGCCUGACGGAGCAACGCCGCGUGAGUGAUGAAGGUCUUCGGAUCGUAAAACUCUGUUAUUAGGGAAGAACAUAUGUGUAAGUAACUGUGCACAUCUUGACGGUACCUAAUCAGAAAGCCACGGCUAACUACGUG
rnacentral:rRNA from 1 species